AUGCAAAUAUUCUUCCUGUUCUCAUUCUGAGGUAAUCAGAACAAGCUAAAAAUCCUCUNCAGUAAGACCAUGCACAUGUCCCGAGACCUGUUCUAUCCCUAUUCCUGGUUUCCUAAAUGCUGUGACAAAG
rnacentral:snoRNA from 1 species